AUUCUAGAUUUUAUUUACAAAGAUUAGAUACAACUAUUUUUCAUAUAAUAUAUCACAUACACAACCCUAGGAUUUUAUAAAAAAAGUAAAAAUUUUUUUUCAUAUUUAUGUUCAUGGGAUAUAGUCACAAUGGUACCCCUAUACAUCAUAAGAAUAUCCAAUUGAAUAGAAAAAAGAGAGAUCUAAUCUCUAUUACCUCC
rnacentral:lncRNA from 1 species